GAGUGAGAUGUUUCCUGGGAAGGUGCGAUGGGGUGGCAGGGCCUUGUAGGCUCUUCGAGGAUUUCGGCUCCUCACUGAGACUCAAGGGAGCCACUGCGGUUUGGCGCAGAGAAGUAACACGAUCCAUCCAACUCUGUUGAGUAAAGAGGAAAGAAACAGCCAUCUGUUUAUUUGCUUCCUUCUCUUGAAGUCUUCCCUCCCCACCAUCGCUACCCAGCGCCAGUUCUUAAGCUACGCUCGUGUUCCCUAACCACAUCCUCUUCCAGUGGGCUGCUGCUCUUUGCCUUGGUGAUGAUGUUACCCAAACCAGGUGCAGUCAAGCCUCAACUUUGAGGAGAGUGAAAUAUUUUCACUUUCGUUUGACCUUCUUCUCAGUCACGUCCAAUUCCAAGUCCCUGGGACACCAGCAGAGACCUCAAUGUCAUCAGGUCAAACAGCCGGAACUGUCUGGCUCGGAUCAAGCAUGUGUUCCUUCUACAUUAGUGUCUUAUUGAUUACAGUGCGUUCUGUCUUUGCGAGGGAGGUUGAAAAGGAUAGUCAGAAAUGAUUACUGUUUUGGAUGGUUUAGUGAUUAUAAUUUAUUUUGGGAUUUCCAAUAAUAUUAAAGGGAAAAUUUGUGAUUUUUAAAUUUAUCAAAAGUGGCCACAGCUUUAUAAAAGACAGAGAAACACUAUUAUCAGAGGAUUAUGUAUUAUUUGGUGUUGUCUGGUUCUUUUCAUGCUUCCAUCCCAUGUAAAGAUUUAUGGUCAUUUGUGGUCAGUAGUAUGUUACAAUCGCUUCUUUUUUUUUUUUUUUUUUUUUGUAAAUAUAGUGGGAAUAACUUCCUUGUUCCACUUGCAAGAUGAAACCUUUGUUGAUGGAGUGAGUGUCAGGGAAGAGAGGGAGAGAGUUUGGGAUUUUAUUGUUUAAUUAAACUUCUUAUUUUCAAAUCAUUGUAGACUUGCAUGUAAUUGUAAGAAAUAAUACAGAGAUAUAUCGUGUAUCCUUGUACCAAGUUUCUCUCAGUAACGACAUCUUGAAAAAAACCAUAGUACAAUAUCAGGACCAAGAUAUUGGUGUUGAUACAGUCAAGAUGCAGAACAUUUCCAUAGCUACGGGGAUCCCUC
rnacentral:lncRNA from 1 species